AUUUAAGUAGUUUAUCUAAAAUUUUAGUUUGUGGGACUAAAGAUAUAAUAACAUUUAUCUUAAAUA
rnacentral:tRNA from 1 species